UCUGCGAGUUUGCUCCCAUAUUGUUGCAGUUAAAACGCCCGUAGUCUGAAUUGGCCAGCAAUGGUCGUACGUAUUUUUACGUUCACUGUGAACAAAUCAGGACGCUUAGAGUAUGGCCACAUGAAUGACUCAGCGCAGUAUGAAGUCUUUGUUUUCUUCCGAAAACAAGCUCAAUGAGAGCCAUCGGGGGUAGAUCUAUCUCAUGACGAGUGGUGGAAUACUUUGACUCAUGAGAGAGAAGCUGAGGCGAAGGCGUCUACCUAGAGGGUUUCUGUCGAUCAAGGGCGAGAGUAGGAGUAUCCAACAGGAUUAGAGACCCUGGUAGUUCCUACCUUAAACGAUGCCGACAGGAGUUUGUCAUUUGUUAAUGGCAGAAUCUUUGGAGAAAUCAUAGUUCUUGGGCUCUGGGGGAACUACGACCGCAAGGCUGAAACUUGAAGGAAUUGACGGAAGGGCACACCAGGGGUGGAGCCUGUGGCUUAAUUUGAAUCAACACGGGGAAACUUACCAGGACCAGAUGUUUUUUAUGACUGACAGGCUUCGGGUCUUUCAGGAUAUUGUUUUUGGUGGUGCAUGGCCGUUGGUGGUGCGUGGGUUGACCUGUCUAGCGUUGAUUCAGCUAACGAGCGAGAUUAUCGCCAAUUAUUUACUUUGCCGAAGUCCUUCGGUUAAAGUUCUAAUUGGGACUCCCUGCGAUUUUAGCAGGUGGAAGAGGGUAGCCAUAACAGGUCCGUGAUGCCCUUUAGAUGCUCUGGGCUGCACGCGUGCUACAAUGUUAGGAUCAAUAGGACUGCGAGCCUGAGAGGGUGCGCUACUCUUAUAAUCCCUAACGUAGUUGGGAUUGACGUUUGUAAUCAGCGUCAUG
rnacentral:ncRNA from 2 species